rnacentral:piRNA from 1 species
UGAUUGACCACGAAGAACAGCAGCAGCAG